GGCUGUUAAUAACUACCUCCGCCCCGGUGACGCCGUCAUCCUUCUCCAUGUCCGUCCUACCUCCGUCCUGUAUGGCGCUGACUGGGGCUCGAUCAAGCUCCAUAUCAACGAUAAUAACGAUAGCUCAUCUCUGGACGAAAGUGAUCACAAGAAGCUGGAGGACGAUUUCAAUAAUUUCACUACCACGAAAGCCAAUUCCGUAGCGCAGCCGCUGGUUGAGGCGCACUUUCCAUUCAAAAUCCAUAUCGUGAAGGACCAUGACAUGAAAGAGAGGCUAUGUUUGGAGGUGGAGAGGUUGGGGUUGAGCGCUGUGAUAAUGGGGAGCAGGGGUUUUGGGGCGGCCAGGAGGAAUAGCAAGGGAAGGCUGGGAAGCGUGAGCGAUUAUUGUGUGCAUCAUUGCAUUUGUCCGGUGGUGGUUGUGAGGUACCCAGAUGACAAGGAGGGGGAGAGCGAUGGUGAUGGUGGAAAAGAGGCUAGUGUGAAGAAAGGAAUUAUUGGAACGGAGGCAGAGCUUCACCCUGUUCCUGAGGAGGAACAGGAAUAUCAUGAUGCCUCUGAUGAGCAGAAAGAUUUUUAACAAGUCCCAGGGCGAAGGCAAGAUCCCCAAUUACAGCUAACAGUUAAAGCACACGAUAACAGGUUGAGGUGAUGAACUGCAAAGAACUUCCAAAAGAGUUUGAUUGAGAAUUUAUUGUUGGGGCAGUGGGAUUGUUGCCUUGUACAUAUGGAUCAUGGUUGCAGUGUUGGUUUCCUUCUCUAGUU
rnacentral:misc_RNA from 1 species